UCCCCAACUCCUCAUCCCCCCCCUCUUCCUCUCUCUCAACUCAACUUCCAAAACUUUGCUACAAAGAGAGAAAUAGCCUUUUAUCCCAUUCCUUAUUGUUUCUCAAGUUAACAGGUUGUUUGCUUUCCGGGGAAUUUUAUUCCUUAAAUGAACUGUCAUUUUCCCGGGAAAAUUUACAGCACCUCCCAAUUUGCUUGCUUUUAACUGGUGUGUAUUGUUAUCUUUCAAUUCAUUUCCUCUUUCCUUUAAUUUUCCUUUACUUUUUUCUGGGUUUUCUUUGUGAUACAGCUCUAGAGCUCUCGAGAUCUGAAAUUAUCGUACAAGACAAGCCAUGUGGGGGAAUUUUAUUUUGCUGAAUGCAUUAAAUUUUGCUAAAUAAAGCCGCGUUUCAUUUUCUCAGUAUUUUGGGGGUUUACUACUAAGAUUUGAUUUCGGUAUUAAAAUUUGGGUUUUUGUUGUUUAGUGGGUGCUUUCAUUCUGGGAUUAGUGAUGAAGAUUGAGAUAGGUAUGGGAGGUGGGGCGUGGAACGAUGAAGAUAGGGCUAUGGUUGCGGCUGUUUUGGGUGCAAAGGCUUUCAAUUACUUGAUAUCAAACUCAGUCUCCAAUGAGAACCUGUUAAUGGCUAUAGGCAGCGACGAGAAUUUGCAGAACAAGCUCUCGGAUCUUGUGGACCAUCCCAACGCAUCAAACUUCAGCUGGAAUUAUGCAAUAUUUUGGCAGAUAUCAUAUUCAAAGUCCGGUGAUUGGGUUCUUGGUUGGGGAGAUGGGUCCUGCCGGGAGCCCAGAGAAGGGGAAGAAUCUGAAGCAACGAGAAUUCUAAAUCUACGCUUUGAGGAUGAGACCCAACAGAGGAUGAGAAAGAGAGUUCUCCAGAAGCUGCACACAUUGUCCGGUGAAUCAGAUGAGGAUAAUUAUGCUUUGGGAUUGGACCGGGUUACUGAUACUGAGAUGUUCUUCUUAGCAUCCAUGUAUUUCUCAUUUCCUCGUGGAGAAGGCGGCCCAGGCAAAUGUUUUGCGUCCGGGAAGCAUGUGUGGGUUGCCGAUGCUUUGAAGUCGGGGAAUGAUUAUUGUGUGAGGUCUUUUCUUGCAAAAUCUGCGGGGAUUCAGACCAUUGUUUUGGUGGCAACUGAUGUUGGAGUUGUUGAAUUGGGGUCUGUGAGAUCCGUUCCUGAGAGUAUUUUGAUGGUUCAGUCAAUAAGGUCUACCUUUUCGAAUCAUGAGACAGUUACGAGGGCCAAAUCUAUUGUGCCGGUAUCAGCUCCAUGCUUACCUGUGGUCAACGACAAGAAAGAUGAGAAUUCCCUGUUUUCCAAUGUGGGUUUUGUGGAGAGGGUUGAAGGAAUUCCAAAGAUUUUUGGGCAGGAUUUGAACAACUCUAGUCAUGGUCAUGGACAUGGUUUUAGGGAGAAACUUGCUGUUCGAAAGAUGGAAGAGAGACCAUCAUGGGAUGUUUAUCAAAAUGGGAAUAGGCUUGCAUUUCCAGGUAAUCGAAAUGGUCUUCAUGGUUCAAGUUGGGCACAUAAUUUUGGUUUGAAACAAGGGAAUCCAGCAGAGGUUUGUGGUUCACAAAACACAACAAAUAAUAUGCAAGAGCUUGUUAAUGGGGUUAGAGAAGAGUUAAGGCUGAAUCAAUUCCAGCCACAAAAGCAGGUGAAUAUGCAAAUUGAUUUUUCGGGUGCAACUUCGGGGCCUUCUGUGGUUGGCCGGCCAGUUAAUGUGGAAUCGGAGCACUCAGAUGUUGAAGCGUCAUGUAAAGAAGAUCGACUUGGCACAGCUGAUGACAGGAGGCCUCGUAAACGGGGCAGGAAGCCAGCAAAUGGAAGAGAAGAACCCCUCAAUCAUGUUGAGGCAGAGAGGCAGAGACGAGAGAAGCUAAAUCAGCGAUUCUAUGCCUUAAGAGCUGUUGUUCCCAAUAUUUCCAAGAUGGACAAGGCUUCCUUGUUGGGGGAUGCUAUUGCUUAUAUCAAUGAGCUCCAAGCAAAGGUCAAGUUAAUGGAGGCAGAGAGGGAAAAAUUUGGGAACACUUCAAGAGAGGCAUCAACUUUGGAGGUUAAUUCAAAUGGGAAAAAUCAUAGCCAAGCUCCUGAAGUUGACAUUCAAGCUUCCCAUGACGAGGUUAUAGUAAGGGUGAGUUGCCCUCUGAAUUUACAUCCGGCUUCAAGAGUGAUUCAAGCUUUCAAAGAGGCACAGGUCAGUGUGAUGGACUCCAAACUUGCUGCAGCAAAUGAAACAGUGUUUCAUACGUUUGUGAUCAAGUCUCAAGGGUCUGAGCAACUUACAAAGGAAAAGUUGAUGGCAGUAUUUUCCCUUGAACCCAACUCAUUACAGCAAUUGUCAUCCGUCGGAUAGUUCGCAUUUAACAUAUAGUUCAUAGGAAUGCGCAUUCGUGGUGAAGAACCCUUUUGAAAGCUUCUUCAGAGUUUUUUUAUACAUGGGAAGAGAGGGCAUCGCACAAGGAGCCAGCGAGAAGUAGAAAAUAACGAGCUAUUGACCAAGUAGUAGGGCAGCAAAUUUUCUGUGAUUGUUUAUAGUAUAUACAUAGCCCGUCAUAAGGAAGUAUUCUUGCAAGAAGAAUUAAAUUUGUAAGUUUUAACCAACUUUGCCAUUGUUGGUUAAUUAAGAAUCUGAUAUAUUUGUUUUGUUCUUUAUGUUUUAUUUUUCUAAUUCUUUUGUUCUUUGCCAAAUUAUGUGUGCGUCAUUGCGUAUUCAAAUGUUUAUCUCAACGGUUUUUGUUUCUGAUGGAAUCAGUGCAAAAAGAUUUCAGCUGUAAUUAGG
rnacentral:misc_RNA from 1 species